AUUGAACGCUGGCGGCAGGCCUAACACAUGCAAGUCGAGCGGUUGGCGGACGGGUGAUUAAUGCUUGGGAAUCUGCCUUAUGGAGGGGAAUAACUACGGGAAACUGUACCUAAUACCGCUUGCCAUAGGAGGAGCCCAAGUGGGAUUAGGUAGUUGGGGAGGUAAAGGCUCACCAAGCCGACGAUCUCUAGCUGGUCUGAGAGGAUGACCAGCCACACUGGGACUGAGACACGGCCCAGACUCCUACGGGAGGCAGCAGUGGGGAAUAUUGCGCAAUGGGGGCAACCUGACGCAGCCAUGCCGCGUGAAUGAAGAAGGCCUUCGGGUUGUAAAGUUCUUUCGGUAGCGAGGCGUUAACUACAGAAGAAGCACCGGCUAACUCCGUGCCAGCAGCCGCGGUAAUUC
rnacentral:rRNA from 1 species